UGUGUGCACCCAGGGUUGAGAACUACUGCAUAAGAGGUCCUAGAAGAUAUCUGGUAUGGCCAGAGUACAGAGGGACCGGAGAAGAACUUCUGCUUGGGUGGCUGAACUCUGAUCUUGACCUAGAGUCAUGGCCAUGGCAACCAAAGGAGGUACUGUCAAAGCUGCUUCAGGAUUCAAUGCCAUGGAAGAUGCCCAGACCCUGAGGAAGGCCAUGAAAGGGCUCGGCACCGAUGAAGACGCCAUUAUUAGCGUCCUUGCCUACCGCAACACCGCCCAGCGCCAGGAGAUCAGGACAGCCUACAAGAGCACCAUCGGCAGGGACUUGAUAGACGACCUGAAGUCAGAACUGAGUGGCAACUUCGAGCAGGUGAUUGUGGGGAUGAUGACGCCCACGGUGCUGUAUGAUGUGCAGGAGCUGCGAAGGGCCAUGAAGGGAGCCGGCACUGAUGAGGGCUGCCUAAUUGAGAUCCUGGCCUCCCGGACCCCUGAGGAGAUCCGGCGCAUAAGCCAAACCUACCAGCAGCGUACGUGACAUCCGCAGUGGCCCUGGCUGAGGUUUCGCUGUGAUUAGAGAAUGAGGGUAGCAGCGGGUGGUUGUUUGCUGAUUAGACUUUUCACAGAACGCUGAGCAUGAGGGAUCCUCGGUGCCAAGCUCUGCUUCGAGGGAGAUCCCUGUUUAGGCAAAUGGCGGUCUGUUGGCUCCUUAAGAUUUCUCAGGUGAAGAUGACACUCUAUUUUGCCUACCCAGUGCAGUAUUUUAUUACCCUAAAAGUUGGAAAGUUGUUCCUUGUUAUCAGACAAAGAAUCUAAGGUACUUGUUCAAAAGUGGUGGCACCAGCAGAUCUUAGCAUUCCAAGGAAUGGUCUGGAAGGGCUGUCUGGCCCAAAUUCUUCCCUUCAGACUGGACUGUACGUCCUCCAGCCAAAUCAGAAUGACAGCCAUUCACUCCCCCUUAGAGACCUCCAGAGGGUGUACAUAUGAAGUGCCUUUAAAAAAUGCCUGACUUUUUGCCCUAAGAAUAUAACUAAAAAUGCACAGAGGUUCAGCUCUCACAGUGUUUAUUCAGCAUUGUCUACAUUAGCUAAAAAUGCCCAACAGUAGCAGAUUGUCUAAACAAAAUAUUAUACACUUACACAAUGAACUAUUAUGUUGUCAUUAAAACUUAUAUUAAAGAGUAUUUUUUUCUUUUAUUUAGCCUUUUUUUUUGAGACAGGGUCUCACUCUGUUGCCCAGGCUGGAAUGCAACGGCCCCAUCAUAGCUCACUGCAACCUCGACCUCCUGGGCUUCAGCAAUCCACCCACUGCAGCCUUCUGAGUAGCUGGGACCACAGGUGUGCGCCACCACACCCUGUUAAUUUUUGUAUUUUUUGUAGAGAUGGGGUUUCGCCAUGCUGCCCAGGCUGGUCUCAAACUCCUGGGCCCAAGCAAUCUGCCCACCUCAGCCUCCCAAAGUGCUGGGAUUACAGAUGUGAGCCACUACACCUGGCCAAGAAUACUAUUAAAAUAUUUAUUAAAUGGUUUGGUAUAUGUAAGUGAAAAAGGCAAGCCAUAAAAUAGUAUGCUAUGAUCCCAUUUUUAAAAAAUUAACACAGUUAAUAACACAGUAUUUUUUAAAUAAAUGAAAAUAAUUUGAGUAUGUGGGGGAAAAUGAGGAAGGAUAUUUACAGAAAUGUUGUCAAUGAUUCUUAUUUCUGGGUGAUUAGACUGCAGUGGAGUUCCUCGCUUUGCCCCUUCUUUUUACUUAUUUGUUUUUUCCUAAGUCUUCUGUGGUCAACAUGUGUUACCUUUAUAGAAAGAAAACAACCACAAUAAGAGUUUUGUGGGAAGUGUUCAGAGCAGGAGAUUCUAAACCUUAGGAGUCUGGAUUUAGCAACCCAAUCCCCACAUCUGCCCAAUGAGGGUUUUCUUCCCUGAGGGCUGUGAAGGGCUGGAGCUUCUCUUUUCGUUUUUGCUUUUUAAAAAUUAAUAAUGAAGAAGUGAUUUUUAAUUUCUUGCUGAAGCUCCCCCUGCCUAUUUUUUUGACACAGGAUCUCGCUCUGUGGCCCAGGCUGGAGUGCAGUGGCAUGAUCAUGGCUCACUGCAGCCUUGACCUCCCCAGGCUGAGGUGAUCCUCCCACCUCAGCCUCCCCUGUAGCUGGUACUACAAGCAUGCACCAACAUACCCAGCUAAUUUUUGUAUUUUUUGUAGAGAUGGGGGUUCACCAUGUUGCCCAGGCUGGUCUCGAACUCAUGGACUCAAGCAGUCUGCCCUCCUCAGCCUCCCAAAGUGUUAGGAUUACAGGCAUGAGCCACUGCGCUCGGCCGUGGAGCUUCUCAUGGAUAACCUGUCAGAACCUCCCAAGUGAGAGACGUGGCAGAGAGGCAUAUGCUAGGAUUUGCAUUUGACAGCGCUCCAACCCCAGCCCCACCUCAAAGCCGGGUUCAGAAGCUCCUAUCUGGUUGCUUUCCAUCAGUGAAGCAGCAGGGGCUGCUCCACAGCUGUGGUUCCCUCUGUGUCACUGAGAACCACGUUCAGAUCGGACCCCUGGGUGGCAGGAAGCACAGAGGGAGGAUUUCAGACCCAGCUUUUUCAACCUCACAUUUUAAGAAACAGGAAUAUCUUGGCCGGGUGCGGUGGCUCACGCCUACAAUCCCAGAACUUUGGGAGGCCAAGGCAGGCGGAUCACCUGAGGUCAGGAGUUCACGACCAGCCUGGCCAAAAUGACAGAACCCUGUCUGUACUAAAAAUACAAAAAUUAGCUGGGCAUAGUGGGGCACACCUAUAAUCCCAGCUACUCGGGAGGCUGAGGCAGGAGAAUUGCAUGAACCCAGGAGGCAGAGGUUGCAGUGAGCUGAGAUGGUGCCACUGCACUCCAGACUCCAUCCAGCCUGGGCAACAGAAUGAGACUCCAUCUCAAAAGAAACAAAACAAAAACAGGAAUAUCGUGUGACAGGAUAAGCUGAUCUUGACCAUUUUACCAGAGUUUAGUUUUUGAAAAACUGUGUGUGGGGUGAAAAAACCUCAUGAUAAGCUGCUUCCAUAAGCAGGCUGGUCUUGAGGGGACAGAUUGCUCUGGAGUGUGACAGGGCAUUGGGCAAGACUCUUAAUUCUGAAGUAGCUAAUUUCACUCUCUUGCUAGAAUAUGGACGGAGCCUUGAAGAUGACAUUCGCUCUGACACAUCGUUCAUGUUCCAGCGAGUGCUGGUGUCUCUGUCAGCUGGUGGGAGGGAUGAAGGAAAUUAUCUGGACGAUGCUCUCGUGAGACAGGAUGCCCAGGACCUGUAUGAGGCUGGAGAGAAGAAAUGGGGGACAGAUGAGGUGAAAUUUCUAACUGUUCUCUGUUCCCGGAACCGAAAUCACCUGUUGCAUGUGUUUGAUGAAUACAAAAGGAUAUCACAGAAGGAUAUUGAACAGAGUAUUAAAUCUGAAACAUCUGGUAGCUUUGAAGAUGCUCUGCUGGCUAUAGUAAAGUGCAUGAGGAACAAAUCUGCAUAUUUUGCUGAAAAGCUCUAUAAAUCAAUGAAGGGCUUGGGCACCGAUGAUAACACCCUCAUCAGAGUGAUGGUUUCUCGAGCAGAAAUUGACAUGUUGGAUAUCCGGGCACACUUCAAGAGACUCUAUGGAAAGUCUCUGUACUCGUUCAUCAAGGGUGACACAUCUGGAGACUACAGGAAAGUACUGCUUGUUCUCUGUGGAGGAGAUGAUUAAAAUAAAAAUCCCAGAAGGACAGGAGGAUUCUCAACACUUUGAAUUUUUUUAACUUCAUUUUUCUACACUGCUAUUAUCAUUAUCUCAGAAUGCCUAUUUCCAAUUAAAACGCCUACAGCUGCCUCCUAGGAUAUAGACUGUCUGUAUUAUUAUUCACCUAUAAUUAGUCAUUAUGAUGCUUUAAAGCUGUACUUGCAUUUCAAAGCUUAUAAGAUAUAAAUGGAGAUUUUAAAGUAGAAAUAAAUAUGUAUUCCAUGUU
rnacentral:sRNA from 1 species